AUUGAACGCUGGCGGCAGGCCUAACACAUGCAAGUCGAACGGUAACAGGAAGCAGCUUGCUGCUUCCCUGACGAGUGGCGGACGGGUGAGUAAUGUCUGGGAAGCUGCCUGAUGGAGGGGGAUAACAACUGGAAACGGUAGCUAAAACCGCAUAAUGUCGCAAGACCAAAGAGGGGGGCCUUUGGGCCUCUUGCCCUCGGAUAUGCCCAGAUGGGAUUAGCGUGUUGGUGGGGUAACGGCCCACCAAGGCGACGAUCCCUAGCUGGUCUGAGAGGAUGACCAGCCACACUGGAACUGAGACACGGUCCAGACUCCUACGGGAGGCAGCAGUGGGGAAUAUUGGACAAUGGGCGCAAGCCUGAUGCAGCCAUGCCGCGUGUAUGAAGAAGGCCUUCGGGUUGUAAAGUACUUUUAGCGGGGAGGAAGGGAAUAAAGUUAAUACCUUGCCGCAUUGACGUUACCCACAGAAGAAGCACCGGCUAACUCCGUG
rnacentral:rRNA from 1 species